AUUCGUAGAGAUCGGGAGGAAUACCAGUGGCGUAGGCGCCUUUCUGGACGGUUACUGACGCUGAGACGCGAAAGCGUGGGGAGCAAACAGGAUUAGAUACCCUGGUAGUCCACGCUGUAAACGAUGAGCACUAGGUGUAGCGGGUACCCA
rnacentral:rRNA from 1 species